rnacentral:tRNA from 1 species
AAGAGAGGUUUGGAACACAAAGAACUGCUAAUUCUUUUUACCAUGGUUCGAAUCCAUGGCUCACUUA